rnacentral:rRNA from 1 species
GCUUAACGCGAAGAACCUUACCAGGGCUUGACAUCCAGGGAAGCACUGCGAAAGCAGAGUGUGCCUUUUGGAACCCUGUGACAGGUGUUGCAUGGCCGUCGUCAGCUCGUGUCGUGAGAUGUUUGGUUAAGUCCAUCAACGAGCGCAACCCUUAUGAUUAGUUGAAUUUUUCUAAUCAGACUGCCUCGGUAACGGGGAGGAAGGAGGGGAUGAUGUCAGGUCAUUAUUACCCUUACGUCCUGGGCUAGAAACGCGCUACAAUGGCCGGUACAAAGGGCAGCCAAUCCGCGAGGGGGAGCAAAUCCCAUCAAAACCGGUCCCAGUUCGGAUUGCAGGCUGAAACUCGCCUGCAUGAAGCCGGAAUCACUAGUAAUCGUAGGUCAGCACACUACGGUGAAUACGUUCCCGGGUCUUGUACACACCG